rnacentral:rRNA from 1 species
UACGAAGGGGGCUAGCGUUGUUCGGAAUUACUGGGCGUAAAGCGCAUGUAGGCGGCGAUUCAAGUCGGGGGUGAAAUCCCAGGGCUCAACCCUGGAACUGCCUUCGAUACUGUAUUGCUAGAGUAUGGAAGAGGUGGGUGGAACUGCGAGUGUAGAGGUGAAAUUCGUAGAUAUUCGCAAGAACACCAGUGGCGAAGGCGGCCUACUGGUCCAUCACUGGCGCUGAGAUGUGAAAGCGUGGGGAGCAAACAGG